GCCACAUUCACACCCCCACGAGUUCCACACCCUCCUCACCUCCCCGGCGAAGCAGAGAAUCCUCCCUCUCGCCGACUUCCUCGAACACUUACAGACAGUGAAGUAGAACUACUGCCUGCUCGCUUGCAGUAGCUGCAGCUGCAGUGGUGGUCGUGGCAUGGCUUCUUCCCUCGCGCCCGCGUCGUGCGCGCUGCCCCUGCAUCCGAGGGUGGCCACGGCGGCUGCCGCGGCGGCAGGCCCCUCCUGCCGCGUGCUGCUCGCCUUCACGGCGCCCCGCUCGGCCGCGUCGGUGCGCCGGGCGGGGAUCCUCGCGCCGCUCCGGUGCUCGCCGCUCGAGGAUCCCGGCGCCACCGGCAGGGAGGAAGGGGGGAAGGAGAAGGGGGGCGUGAGCAAGCGGGUGCACGGGAGGCCCAUGUGGAGGCGGAUCCUGUUCGCCUCCAAGAAGACCCGCAGCAUCAUGAUUCUCAACGCCCUCACCGUCAUCUACGCAAGUGAUAUUCCAGUUCUGAAAGAGGUUGAAGCCCUCACAGAACCCGCGGUGUUCAACAUGGUGCGCUUCGUAAUCGCAGCCAUCCCCUUCAUACCAUUUGUGAUACGCGCAUUCGGCGAUCGCCGUACACGAAAUGGGGGAUUAGAGCUAGGAGUUUGGGUUAGUCUAGCGUACCUUGCUCAAGCAAUUGGGUUGAUCACAUCUGAAGCUGGGCGAGCAUCCUUCAUUGCAGCCUUCACAGUGAUAGUUGUGCCUCUGAUUGAUGGCAUUUUUGGCGCCUCGAUACCCAUGCUGACUUGGUUCGGGGCCAUAGUAUCAGUUAUAGGGGUUGGCCUGCUAGAAUGUGGUGGCUCUCCUCCUUGUGUUGGUGACGUGCUGAAUUUCUUGAGUGCGGUAUUUUUCGGGAUCCAUAUGCUUAGAACGGAGCAAAUAUCAAGAAGUACAGACAAGAAGAAGUUCAUGGCUCUUCUUAGCUUUGAGGUUCAUAACUGAAUUGCGUACUUGCAGUCUCCGAUAUCCACUAUGCUGCUCUAAUCAUCUUGGUCACAAAUGGGAACCAUCUCACUGACCAUCUAUCAUUCAGGUCCUUGUUGUGGCUUUAACCUCGAUAAUCUGGUUUUUGCUCAAAGAUGCCUUCGUUGAGGUCCACGAUUCCAGCUUUGAAUCAUGGACGUUUGGUACGCUUUGGGAUUCGGCGGCUUCUUUUCCUUGGAUACCAGCACUGUACACCGGAGUCUUUUCAACGGGGUUAUGUAUGUGGGCAGAGAUGGUAGCGAUGGCCCAUGUUUCAGCAACUGAAACUGCAAUCGUUUAUGGACUAGAACCGGUAUGGGGAGCUACAUUCGCUUGGUUCCUCUUAGGUGAAAGAUGGGACAAUGCUGCAUGGAUUGGAGCUGCCCUUGUACUAUGUGGAAGCCUUACUGUACAGCUAUUCGGGUCAGCUCCCGAAAAAUCCCAGAAAGUUGAAUCGCGCAGCGGGAAUACAUUUGAAUCCCCACUGAAACGGCAGGAGCGCUUGUCCCUAUCUGCUAUCCCCGUCGAUUCCAGGAAGAACAUAGGGAGCCAAUUAGAGAGGAAGGAUAAAACAUUGUAGCCCAAGGUCAAGGGAGUAACGCAUCCUCCAAAGACAGGGUCAAGAACUCAAGAUCGCAACUGUAUGUAAACCAAAACAAGCGGCCUUAUAUCUGACACUUGCUUUGGUUCAUUAAGUAGAUGCAAGUGCAACCGGCGUUUGCUCUACAGAGAAAGGUUGCUAUUCCCAUGAUCUCGGAGGUUAGUUGCCAUUUAGGGUAUCGACUGGACUAACUAGUGACUAGAGAUAAUCUAGUGCCCAGUAUAUAUUAGAAAAUGUGGCAUUGUCUUUCCCCUUUUUGAAAAAAUAUAUAUUAGAAAAUGUGGCAUUGCUGGCUAGAAACUCUUGUGCAUGCUACAGCAGCCGGUGUAAAGUGGCAACUGCAGUUGGGAACAUUGUGUGUAGAUUCCAUGUAAAUAUAUUUAACAUACGUAGCAAGGAUGAUAGUAAAUGAUAACGCCAUUGUUGUCAAUAUUGUAAGUCUGUUGGUAGGGUUACUAGUUUAAACCAUGUAAAUAGAAUCUUAGACAGUCGAUGACGAUCUGCUUUUAUGUUCCAUUUUGUAAUUAUGUAGUGCUGAAAUCAUC
rnacentral:rRNA from 1 species